rnacentral:lncRNA from 1 species
GUGGUGACCUCCGCGCACCCUGGUUCUCAGUGCCUACAAAGGCUGGGGCAGUGAGAGCAGAGCGUGUGGGUACAGACUAGCCCUCUUUCAGCCACAGCUCCUACUGCACCAGAAAAUAUAAAUAAGUCUGGUGCUUUACCUUGAAAAACACUCUGAAGUCAGAAGUGGGAGUCUAAAUUCCGUCCCACGCAAAGCCGCAUCGGCGGGGUUUGCGGCAUCGGCGGGGUUCGCUGUGUUUUCCAGGUUCGCGGCAUUGGCGGGGUUCGCAGCGUUUGCCGGGUUUGCCGCGUUGGCGGGGUUCGCGGUUCACCUAAGAUACACAGAAUGCUAGCCUCACAAGGGGCAUAUAUGGGAUUUUCUAAUGACCGAGAAUGCCAGACCAGUGGUGCAGACUCUUUCGUAAGAUGCCCAGAGAACCCCACCCAUUUCCACCAAUGAGGUCCUCCGCGAGGAGGCAGAGUGCCCGCCGCGCUGGACCACUGCAACCACCACCACUGUUCUACCGCUACUGCUCUGCUGUUCUACUCUUCGCCCUACUGUUCUGCCUCUGCACACUGGUGUUCUGCCUCCGCGCCCUGGCGUUCUGCCUCCGCCCCUGGCGUUCUGCCUCCGCGCUCUGCCGUUCUGCCACUGCUGCUACUGCAGCUCCCCUGUUCUGUGGCUGCUGUUUGGCUGUUCUGCGGCCAGCACUCUCCGUGGUUGUUACUGUUGUUCUGGUACCGCUCACUGCUAUCUCUGUUCUGCCACCGCCGCCACUGCUAUGGUUGCACUGCCCCUGCCGCUGCAAUUGCUGCACUGCGACUGGCGGUGUUGCUGUCGUUGUAUCUGUAUCGCCACUGCGGAAGAGCUUUUGGAUAGUCUGGCCAGACGUUUCCUCUUCUCACAGGUAUCUAAGGAACUCGGGGAAGGUGACGUCAUCACCAGCGGGGCUAGGGCCUGCACCUACACGGUAUCUGCGGACAAUCUCAGCACCAUAACGCUGCUGGUAUUCCCUGAUCUCACCAAAUUUGUUUCGGUAGGCAGAGAGGAGGCGCUCCACUGGGUCACGAACGAACAAGAAUUUGAAAUAGUGCUGUAAGCGGUAUCGGAUCUCCUCUGGACGUAGGUCGGCCAGGAAUACCAGGUCACUUCGAUGGUCCAUCUUGAGCCUCACAUCCACACUGUCUAGGGCACCAGCCAGGACCUUGAGGACACGCUUCCAGUUGGAGCAGGCCACUUUGGGGACAUAGCAGUAGAGGAAGUGGUACUGGUCACUCACCAAGAUGUGACGGAAGAGGGUCCGACGCUGCCCUGCUGGGAGGUCCCAGGGGUCACGGGGCAUGCCUGGCUGCCCACAAACAGCCCGUAAGGUACGAUUCCGGACAUCCUGUCGCACCUGGUGGUCUGGGUCUCCAGGAUCUAGCAGUACUUCUGGACUUCCAGCUGCCACCCUACGCCAAACAGGGUCCAUUUUGCCGUGGGGAUGCAAAGGAGGAGGCUUCAUCUCAGCUAGGAUGCCCCUCUCAAUCAUGAGCAGCAGCCCACUGGAGGCCACUAUCACUCCAAACAUCAACAUGGAGGGGAGAAGCAGGGGUGGCCCUCCUGACCCGCCCCGACCCCUUCCUGCAGCCAGGGGGUUCCUCCUCGAUGCCCGUCCCAGGGGCUCCGUGCCCUUCGGGGCUGUCAGCGGGGUGAGAGGCCGGGGGAACAUGGGGUCCACUCCCCCCUCCAGGGAGAAGGACCUACUUAAGUGUUAGCUUUUACAGGACGGGGCAGUCACUUGGAGACAACUCGGUCUCAGGCAGCGAGAGAGGGGAUAGAGGCACUGAAAGUGAGUCCAGCUUCAGGCCUAGCCUAGUGGAAGGGUACGGGCUGCUGUGCUCUGGCUCUAGGCGAGAGAAAGCUGGGGGCGUGGGAAGGGGCCCCGGGACGGGCGCAGGGCGCUCCACUCGGGCCAGGCGGAGCGGCCCAGAGCGGGCAGCUGGACGUUACCGAGUA